AUUAAAAGCCGCUCGAAAUAACGGUCGGAUAGUUCGCGCUUACAUUUCGAUACAUUGCCCAACUUGGCUGGCCCAUGGGGCAGGAACCAACCACUACCACCAUGAGGCGCAGUUCUUCCCCCCUCCCUCAGCCCUACCCAUUUUCGCGGCGCCCGACUCGGCUCCUCCCCGCUCAGACAGACGUCUCCUGGGCGUUGCCCAACCCUGUUGAAAAAUCUGCAAGAAAUGAAAAGUCUUCAAAGGGAGGUACGGGAUGGAGAUGACGAAAGCUCA